UUAGCGGAGAUCCAGACUUGCAAAAAGGUCUGAUUAUUUUCCCUGUGCUCUUAGCACCUUUUAAAAGAAGAAAACUGGCUUUUUAAACAAGCGCCAUAUAGAAAACCAUCUAUAGCUGGAAACAAGAAGCCACCACCACCAGUGGGCCAGUUCCAACCUUGGCCUGCUGUGUACAGCCUGUAAGCUAAACAUGUCCUUUGCACGUUUAAAGUAUGGAGAAAACCCAAAACGAAUAAAGAAUGUGUGACCGACUGAGACUCUGCAGCGCAUACAGCCUAACGUAUUUACUCUUUGGCCUUUUACAGAAAAUGUUUGCUGAACCCUGAUCAUUGGAAUAAUGAGAUCUGAACAUGAUGUUUAGUAUAAUUUAUGAGGUAGUUGACUUUGGCAAAUAAUUGUGAUGCCAGAAAAGACUGGACAUAUAAAAAUAAGUUGUAAUCCCAGCACUUUGGGAGGCCGAGGCGGGCGGAUCACGAGGUCAGGAGAUCGAGACCAUCCUGGCUAACCCGGUGAAACCCCGUCUCUACUAAAAAUACAAAAAAUUAGCUGGGUGUGGUGGCACGUGUCUGUAGUCCCAGCUACUCAGGAGGCUAAGACAGGAGAAUUGCUUGAACCCAGGAGGUGGAGGUUGCAGUGAGCCGAGAUUAAGCCACUACAUUCCAGCCUGGGUGACAGAAUGAGACUCCAUCUCAAAAAACAAAAAGCAAUAAAAAAUAAAAUAAAUUGUAGAUUUAUUGAAUUUUAAGAAAAAAAUGAAGGGAAAACCCACAGUAUAUUUAAAUACUUGAUGUCAUAUUUGUUUCUUAUUUUUGAUGCUUAUUAUUUAUCUACAACUAUUUAGCAUGAUCGACAUAAUUUUAAGUAAUGUAAGUAAAGUUAAUUCCUCAUGAAGUCAUUCUGGGUAUUUUUGGUUAAAAAUGCUUGAAGAUGUAGAAAACAGUGAGUUUGAUGUUCAAAUUAUCAUAAGCUGAAUUGAAUUAUACAUAAAAAUUGAUAUUUGAAUAUCCUCUUUCUCUAUAACCAAAAUGUUGAAAACAUUUUAAUGUCUUUUUUAUUACUGAAAUUAGUUGAUAUUUUAAAAAUAAACCCAGGAGGCUAAAAACUGUAGCAUGUGGUACUGUGUGCCUUUAACGAACACAUUUGAAAUAUUAAAUAAUUUCUUUAAGAAUGAUAAAGUCUUAUUCAAGCUUACUAAUGUUUUUCUAAUUUAGAUUAUUGGUUAUAAGCAGCUGAGUAAUAUGUGGUUGGAGUCCCUGGGUUGAAAUCAUUUCAUGAGCUCUCAAAUCUUCUUUUGAAAAGUCUAUUAAUAUACCUUUUAUCUUUAUUAUUUGGAACAGAGAAUCAUUAACUUUACAUUCAUUUCAGAGAUUUAAAUCUAUAUGCAAGAGC
rnacentral:lncRNA from 10 species